rnacentral:rRNA from 1 species
UACGUAGGGGCAAGGCGUUGUCCGGAUUUAUUUGGGCGUAAAGAGCGUGUAGGCGGCCAGGUAGGUCUGCUGUGAAGACUCGAGGCUUAACCUCGAGCUGUCGGCGGAAACCAUCUGGCUAGAGUCCGGAAGAGGAGAAUGGAAUUCCCGGUGUAGCGGUGAAAUGCGCAGAUAUCGGGAAGAACACCCGUGGCGAAAGGCGGCUCUCUGG